rnacentral:rRNA from 1 species
GAUAAACGCUGGCGGCGUGCAUGAGACAUGCAAGUCGAACGAAGGAUCGGGCUUGCUCGUUCCUUAGCGGCGGACGGCUGCGUAACGCGUAGGUGACCUACCCCGAAGUGGGGAAUAACUGCCCGAAAGGGUGGCCAAUACCGCAAGUGGUUGCACGUUCAUUCGUGCGAGUAAAGCCGCAAGGCGCUUCGGGGGGGGCCUGCGUCCGAUUAGCCCGUUGGUGGGGUAAUGGCUUACCAAGGCGACGAUCGGUAGGUGGUCUGAGAGGACGAUCACCCAGACUGGGACUGAGACACGGCCCAGACUCCUACGGGAGGCAGCAGUAGGGAAUUUUGCUCAAUGGGGGAAACCCUGAAGCAGCAACGCCGCGUGAGGGAUGAAGGCCUUCGGGUUGUAAACCUCUUUUGUCAGGGACGAUGAUGACGGUACCUGGCGAAUAAGCCACGGCUAACUACGUG